rnacentral:lncRNA from 1 species
GCCGCCGAUCCGGCCGGACCAAGCGACGUCGAUUGGCCUAAGCACGCCACGCCUCGCUAGCUCCAGUCCCGUGACCUCGAGCUCCGAAACAAACGUGGUAGGAUGGCAACAGCUGAGUUGGGGGCAACAUGGCAACUCCCGGUGAAAUAUGACUAGAUCAUACAGCCACGCAAAACAGAAUACAGGUCUCGGAAAACACCAAAGCUAACAGCUACGUGUACCGUCCCUGACUUUCACGAACACACAAAAGAGUUCAAGCAAGCACUGUGGUCACUGGAUCCAUGUUUUCUGUGGUACAUAGAAACUCAAUGCUGGGCAUAACUUUGCAGAGACGACCGCCUCAUUCCAGUAGCACCUAACAGCAAUAGCAAAACACGUUAGUUAGACACGUACUUCAAAAGAGAAUAUUUCUGAAUCAAGAAAAAGGCUAUAAAUCAUGCAAAAAUCGGUAUAUGUGGACACAGGGCAAUCAUAAAUCAUCGUGAACACUGCAAUUAUAAAGCUCACCAGAUGCACCAAUUUUUUCAGAACCAAGAAUGUAAAAACACGAGCCUGCAGUUUAUUAUUCCUAAAUCUGUGUAUUAGCAACUAGCCGUUAAUGUCACCACAAAGAAUUUUCUCCAAGGUUAUCCACAAAUAUUGCCAGUGAUUACCACACAAGGAAGUUGAAAUUGCAGGUUGUUCAUGUAACCAGUUGGGAGACCUAAAUCAUAAUAAAUGGUCUAUUCAUUUCAAUAUAGUAACAUAACAGAUAUGGCCUCAGGCUUAUUAUAAAGAAUAUGCCCUUUCUACAACUUAAACAGAUUUUAUCCGGGUAAAAGUAUAUCAACGACAAUGAGAUCUAGACAAACCUAGAAAACGCAUUCCAGUUGUUACCAUUAUAACAAAUGACCUGGUUACCAGAAAAGGCAAGAUUGAACAAAAGUGUAUAGGAUAGCUGGCAACUAAGCAGAAUGUUUCACUCUAUGCUGCUAUGCAUCAUUAGGACAUGUUCAACAAAUUCUAGCACUAUUCCCAAAAAAAAACAAUUCUAGCACUAACAGUAAAUUAUAAAUGAGUCCCUCGGCAAAUAUCUUUACAACCAUUGCAGAGAUGAUAGACCACACUUGCAUGGCAAUAUCAAAACUACAUCGGAUGCAUCAUACCAUUUCCAUUAGCAGAUACGGAACAAUAGCAGUGCAUGUGCAUAUGGAUGACUCAGGUUAGGACACACUGACAAAGCGUGAUAGUUGGCCAAUUGCAAAACUGAAAUGUAGAAUUUAUAACGUCCAUGAAACUGUUACAAGCAACAAAUAACCAGGGGCUAACACUAUCCAACACUAAUCCAUCCACAUAUCAAUAAUUCUGAGGCUCAGGAUUCAGAAUGUCACACAAAAACAACAAAAUCAUAAAUAUGACUACCAUUGUGCACAUCAAUCAAUCGCCCUACAUGUGCGAGACAUUGACACAGCAUGAGAACAGAGAAUCGGCCAUUAAGGUGAAAUGAAUUCAACAUAUAAACAACAUUGAAAGUGUUUGCUCAUUCAAAAGAUCAACCCUCCUUUGGGAGCAGCACAGUCUAUCCCUCAACUGCAAAUUCCCAUGAUGUGAAUGUGAUUAUGUUUACAAAUCCCUAGGGUAAUCAGUAUUACUGGUCUGUCCCAGGAGAACAAAUGUGAAGCAGAAACAUUUAAAUUUGACUACUUGGUUUUAAAACUCUCAAUCAAUGAACAGUUAUUCCGGGUAAGAACAGACUAAAUUUAGCCUUUAGAAUUAGCACUUUAUUUUGAAAACUGGAAUAGAACAGGCAAGAAUCUGUCCCUAUAACAGAAAACUGGAAAAAGAUACCAACCAUGGUUCAGGAUUUUUCACAAAUAUCAAAAUAUGUAAUUCGAAACCCUGUUUGUGGUAGAAAAGAGCAUUUACUUUCUAUUCCUAAAUUUAGUGGUGCUUGUUUAGUUUCUUUCCCCAAUCCAACCUAGUGUUCUCAAAGUUCUAAUAAUAAGCGUACACACAAAAAAGAAUAUCUCAAAAAACUAUGCAUGCAAAGAUCCUAGUGGUUGCUAAUAGACAGAUAAUCCAUCUGGUGAACUGACAGGUAACUGCUAUUCACCCUAAUAAUCCGAACUGCAAUCAUCCUAGUCAACCCUCACCCAUUUUGCUAGUUUCUAGAAAUCAGUUUAAACUAGAAAUCCAUUCACCCUUUUUGCAAGUCUAUAGAAAUCUCGGAAUUCAAACUAGGAUGAGAAGCGCCAAGUUGAUUUAUCCAAGAUGAAUCUAACCAAGUCCACAUCUAUAAAACUGAACACAAACCGACCGCGAUUCAUACACGCGAACAGACAGAACAAAACCACGCUAUUGUCAAGUCAACUAUUCGAAAUCGCAGAGAUGCAUCUAUCACGACCGUCGGCGCCCAGUCAACAGAGGGAUCAAACGCCCGCAAAGCAACCGGACACACCAAACCCUGGAGAGGAGAGCAGCAGGGUCCGGGGGCUCACCUUUGGGGGGCGGGGUCGGCAUGGGGACGGGCGACCCUACAGCUCGAGCUUGAGCUCCUGGACGUCGCCGUCGCGGGUGAGGAAGUGGAGGAUGUAGGGGGCGGCACGGAUGACGGCGACGCAGGAGGCCAUGACGAUGAGGUGCGACCGCAGCUGCUUGUACGCCGCCUCCUUGCUCGGGCGCCGCGGAAUCUGGCCUAGGAACAUCUUGAUUCGCUUCUCUUCUCCGAAUCCGGUGCGCGGCGACGGGCGGCGAGGGUUUCGAGCUCUGGAGGCGGCGAGGCUUAAACCCUAGCGAUCCGAUGCGAUUGGUUCUGUGACGGUGGGUGGGAGGAGGGGUCGGGUCCUUUUACCCGCAGGUCCCUGGAGAACUGCAGAUUUCUGGAGUAUAGUGGGCCUCC